UACAGAGGGUGCGAGCGUUGUCCGGAAUCACUGGGCGUAAAGGGCGCGUAGGUGGCUUGGUAAGCGUGUGGUGAAAGCCUGGGGCUCAACCCCAGGUCUGCCGUGCGAACUGCCAAGCUUGAGCAUAGUAGAGGCAGGUGGAAUUUCGGGUGUAGCGGUGGAAUGCGUAGAUAUCCGAAAGAACACCGGUGGCGAAGGCGGCCUGCUGGGCUAUUGCUGACACUGAGGCGCGAAAGCGUGGGGAGCAAACAGA
rnacentral:rRNA from 1 species